UACGUAGGGGGCGAGCGUUGUCCGGAUUCAUUGGGCGUAAAGCGCUUUAAGGCGGUUCGCUAAGUCGGGUGUGAAACCUCCAGGCUCAACCUGGAGACGCCACUCGAUACUGGCGUGACUAGAGUCCGGUAGGGGACCACGGAAUUCCUGGUGUAGCAGUGAAAUGCGUAGAGAUCAUGAGGAAGACCAGUGGCGAAGGCGGGUCUCUGGACAGUUCCUGACACUGAGACACGAAGGCCAGGGGAGCAAACGGG
rnacentral:rRNA from 1 species